AAGUCGUAACAAGGUUUCCGUAGGUGAACCUGCGGAAGGAUCAUUAAAAAAAGUCAGUAAAAAAGUAAGGUAAGUGGCCUUCCCACAAAGAAGCGGCGUGAGGGGGGGAAUCGCGAGAUCGAGGGUGGAGCACGACUCUGAGUAGCGAGUAUCCUACCAUCACUCUCUCGCCUCAAAAGAUAUCCCCGGGAGAGGUGUACCCCUUGUUUGCUCUCUUACAAAUAUCCCUUGCAGCCGCUGCCAUGUGGGUUGGCCAUCCCCCCCUUAUCUUUUAUUACUUAUUGAUAACACACCCCCACCGUGCAUUUAUUGAAAAAGACAUCUCAAAAAGAAAAAAGUCAUUUUUUUCUUUUUAACCUAUUUGCCUGAUAUUUUGACUGAACUUUAUAAAAAAUUUAAUACAACUUUCAACAACGGAUCUCUUGGCUCUC
rnacentral:misc_RNA from 1 species